UACGGGGGGGGCAAGCGUUGUUCGGAAUUACUGGGCGUAAAGGGCUCGUAGGCGGCCAACUAAGUCGGACGUGAAAUCCCUCAGCUUAACUGGGGAACUGCGUCCGAUACUGGAUGGCUUGGAUUUGGGAGAGGGAUGCGGAAUUCCAGGUGUAGCGGUGAAAUGCGUGGAUAUCUGGAGGAACACCGGUGGCGAAGGCGGCAUCCUGGACCAAUAUUGACGCUGAGGAGCGAAAGCCAGGGGAGCAAACGGG
rnacentral:rRNA from 1 species